CCGUAGCCUGGUAGCGGGGGGUAACGUAUUGGAAACGAUAGCUAAUACCGCAUAAUAUUGAUUAUUUGCAUGAUAAUUGAUUGAAAGAUGCUAUUGCAUCACUACCAGAUGGACCUGCGUUGUAUUAGCUAGUAGGUGAGGUAACGGCUCACCUAGGCGACGAUACAUAGCCGACCUGAGAGGGUGAUCGGCCACACUGGGACUGAGACACGGCCCAG
rnacentral:rRNA from 1 species